UACGGAGGGUGCGAGCGUUAAUCGGAAUAACUGGGCGUAAAGGGUACGCAGGCGGGCUUUUAAGUGAGAUGUGAAAUCCCCGGGCUUAACCUGGUAAGAGCCUUUCAGACUGGAAGUCUAGAGUACUUUAGGGAGGGGUAGAAUUCCACGUGUAGCGGUGAAAUGCGUAGAGAUGUGGAGGAAUACCGAAGGCGAAGGCAGCCCCUUGGGAAUGUACUGACGCUCAUGUGCGAAAGCGUGGGGAGCAAACGGG
rnacentral:rRNA from 1 species